rnacentral:rRNA from 1 species
AGGGUUUGAUCCUGGCUCAGAACGUACGCUGGCGGCACGCCUUAUACAUGCAAGUCGAACGAAGUAGCAAUACUUAGUGGCAGACGGGUGAGUAACAUGUAGGUAUCUCCCCUUUGGUGAGGAAUAACACGAGGAAACUUGUGCUAAUACCUCAUAAGUCUUUACAGAGAAAGCUUUAUGCACCAUUGGACGAGCCUGCACUUGAUUAGUUUGUUGGUGGGGUAAUGGCCUACCAAGACUGUGAUCAAUAGCUGAUUUGAGAGGAUGAUCAGCCACAUUGGGACUGAGACACGGCCCAAACUCCUACGGGAGGCAGCAGUGGGGAAUCUUGCACAAUGGAGGAAACUCUGAUGCAGCGAUGCCGCGUGAGUGAAGAAGGCCUUUGGGUUGUAAAGCUCUUUCGUCGGGGAAGAAAAUGACUGUACCCGAAUAAGAAGGUCCGGCUAACUUCGUGCCAGCAGCCGCGGUAAUACGAAGGGACCUAGCGUAGUUCGGAAUUACUGGGCUUAAAGAGUUCGUAGGUGGUUGAAAAAGUUAGUGGUGAAAUCCCAGAGCUUAACUCUGGAACUGCCAUUAAAACUUUUCAGCUAGAGUAUGAUAGAGGAAAGCAGAAUUUCUAGUGUAGAGGUGAAAUUCGUAGAUAUUAGAAAGAAUACCAAUUGCGAAGGCAGCUUUCUGGAUCAUUACUGACACUGAGGAACGAAAGCAUGGGUAGCGAAGAGGAUUAGAUACCCUCGUAGUCCAUGCCGUAAACGAUGUGUGUUAGACGUUGGAAAUUUAUUUUCAGUGUCGCAGCGAAAGCGAUAAACACACCGCCUGGGGAGUACGACCGCAAGGUUAAAACUCAAAUGAAUUGACGGGGACCCGCACAAGUAGUGGAGCAUGUGGUUUAAUUCGAAGAUACGCGCAGAACCUUACCAACACUUGACAUGUUCGUCGCGACUUUAAGAGAUUAAAGUUUUCGGUUCGGCCGGACGAAACACAGGUGCUGCAUGGCUGUCGUCAGCUCGUGUCGUGAGAUGUUGGGUUAAGUCCCGCAACGAGCGCAACCCUCACUUUUAGUUGCCAUCAUUAAGUUGGGCACUCUGAAAGAACUGCCAGUGAUAAGCUGGAGGAAGGUGGGGAUGACGUCAAGUCCUCAUGGCCCUUACGUGUUGGGCUACACACGUGCUACAAUGGCAUUUACAAUAGGAAGCAAGAUGGCGACAUCAAGCAAAUCCUAAAAAGAUGCCUCAGUUCGGAUUGCACUCUGCAACUCGAGUGCAUGAAGCUGGAAUUACUAGUAAUCGCGGAUCAGCGCGCCGCGGUGAAUACGUUCCCGGGUCUUGUACACACCGCCCGUCACACCAUGGGAGUUGGUUCUACCUUAAGGCAAAGCUUAUAAACUUUGACCACGGUAUAGUCAGCGACUGGGGUGAAGUCAUAACAAGGUAGCCGUA